rnacentral:rRNA from 1 species
CCUACGGGAGGCAGCAGUGAGGAAUAUUGGUCAAUGGACGAGAGUCUGAACCAGCCACGUAGCGUGAAGGAUGACUUCCCUCUGUGUUGUAAACUUCUUUUAUAAAGGAAUAAAACGAGGCACGUGUGCCUUUUUCCAUGUACUUUAUGAAUAAGGAUCGGCUAACUCCGUGCCAGCAGCCGCGGUAAUCCGGAGUAUCCGAGCGUUAUCCGGAUUUAUUGGGUUUAAAGGGAGCGUAGAUGGGUUCGUAAGUCAGUUGUGAAAGUUUGCGGCUCAACCGUAAAAUUGCAAUUGAUACUGGCAGUCUUGAGUGCAGGUGAGGUAGGCGGAAUUCGUGGUGUAGCGGUGAAAUGCUUAGAUAUCACGAAGAACCCCGAUGGCGAAGGCAGCUUACUAAACUGUGACUGACAUUGAGGCUCGAAAGUGUGGGGAGCAAACAGGAUUAGAUACCCGUGUAGUC